rnacentral:rRNA from 1 species
CAACGCGUUGGGAGCUCUCCCAUAUGGUCGACCUGCAGGCGGCCGCGAAUUCACUAGUGAUUCGUAUUACCGCGGCUGCUGGCACGUAGUUAGCCGGCGCUUCUUCUGCAGGUACCGCACUCUCGCUUCUUCCCUGCUGAAAGAGGUUUACAACCCGAAGGCCGUCAUCCCUCACGCGGCGUCGCUGCAUCAGGCUUUCGCCCAUUGUGCAAUAUUCCCCACUGCUGCCUCCCGUAGGAGUCUGGGCCGUGUCUCAGUCCCAGUGUGGCUGAUCAUUCUCUCAAACCAGCUACAGAUCAUUGGCUUGGUAGGCCAUUACCCUACCAACUACCUAAUCUGGCGCGGGCUCAUCCAUCAGCGAUAAAUCUUUCCUCCAAAAAGAAUAUACGGUAUUAGCAAUUAUUUCUAAAUGUUAUUCCGUACUGAUGGGCAGAUUCCCACGUGUUACUCACCCGUCUGCCACUAAUUUAUUUAAAGCAAGCUCUAAAUAAAUCCGUUCGACUUGCAUGUGUUAAGCAUACCGAAAGCGUUCGUUCUGAGCCAUGAUCAAACUCUAAUCGAAUUCCCGCGGCC